rnacentral:tRNA from 1 species
GAAAUCUUAGUUUAUUUAAAAUAUGAUCUUUGUAAGUUCAAGAAUCUAGAUUUCU